rnacentral:rRNA from 1 species
AUUCCUACGGGAGGCAGCAGUGAGGAAUAUUGGACAAUGGACGAAAGUCUGAUCCAGCUAUGCCGCGUGCAGGAUGACGGCCCUAUGGGUUGUAAACUGCUUUUAUACAGGAAGAAAAACUCCGACGUGUCGGAACUUGACGGUACUGUAAGAAUAAGGAUCGGCUAACUCCGUGCCAGCAGCCGCGGUAAUACGGAGGAUCCAAGCGUUAUCCGGAAUCAUUGGGUUUAAAGGGUCCGUAGGCGGUUUUUUAAGUCAGAGGUGAAAUCCUGCAGCUCAACUGUAGAAUUGCCUUUGAUACUGAAAGACUUGAGUUAUUGUGAAGUGGUUAGAAUGUGUGGUGUAGCGGUGAAAUGCAUAGAUAUCACACAGAAUACCAAUUGCGAAGGCAGAUCACUAACAAUAUACUGACGCUCAGGGACGAAAGCGUGGGUAGCGAACAGGAUUAGAUACCCUGGUAGUCCACGCCGUAAACGAUGGAUACUAGCUGUAUGUCUACUUCAGGUAGAUGUGUGGCUAAGCGAAAGUGAUAAGUAUCCCACCUGGGGAGUACGAUCGCAAGAUUGAAACUCAAAGGAAUUGACGGAAUCUC